AGUGGCGCUCUUCGCAUGCAGCCAUGCGCACGUGUGUGCUUGUGCGUCGCCGGUUUUCGAGGUAUUUCCCAAACUCCGGCUUGGCGUGACUUUUUUCUGUUAAAUGUUUGUUGUUGGUUUUUGAUUUUUUUUUUGGGUAGCCAUUUGGCACGUUUACCUCUUGUUUGCUGGUGGCCACAUAGUAAGAUAAGCGCAUUAAACUGUAUAUACCUAGGUAUGUACUUUGUGUCAAUAAGAAAAUAUUUAUAAGUGCGUUAUGCACUUUUAGUUUGCUUGCUCUCCGCAAGAGAAAAAAAUGUGAUUCACAUAAGUUUUGACAUUUUCCACUUCAUUUUGUACUUUGCUGAUAAGCAUUUUCUUAAUUUGUUAAAAAUAAAAACUAUUUUCAUCGCUGUACUAUGCACUGCAAGUUAGACUUUCGUUCAUGGGUGCAAUUAAACAUCCGCACUUUGGCCCAAAGUAAUACAUGCACACGCCUUUAUGUGCCACUAAAAUUUUGUAUGAUGCCCGGUGAUGUUUAACUUUAUUACAUACACAUUUUGAGAUAAACAUUUUAUUGUGCGGCUAAUGCAAAACUACUGUGUGCGUUGAAUAUUUACGGUUCAUGAACUCUUUAGUGCAUUGCUCGCUGAACACCAGCGGCGACAUGUUCGGCAGCUAUAAAUACCGCAAUAUUUCUUGAUGUUUACUUUGCAAGUGAUGACGACACAUUUAACGCCAGUUUCUGCAGAAGAAUACAAAAAUGUCACGAAGAGAGAUUUCGACACUGUAAUGGUUUACGCCACAACUGAAUGAACAUUGAAAAUAGCACGUGCCAAAAAUGUGCGCAUACUUUUCAAUUAACCAGGAUUUGUCAUCAAUUUCCCAUGAAUACAUUGAAAUGCAGAGAUCGCAUUAGCCGCCGCUAAUUUAAAUUAAAUUAAAAUGUUUCCAAGUCUUUUUGUUUCAAUAAUUUCCAGCAGUGCUUAAAAAACUUCGGUGUUUUCUGGUGUGCUUCGAUACCCUAGAUGUCUCAACGCAUGCAACAAAACAUUUCCCACACAAUUUAUUCAAUCUUAUUCAAUCUUCCUACUCAUAGUUCAACGGCAUCAUUCAUAGUCGCCGCUAAAUAGCAAAAUUAUGUUAAUGAAUAUUCAAAGUAAUCGAAAAUUGUGUGAUUUCGCUGAAAACGCCUACCAUAAACCAGCAAGCAGAAUUCGAACUUUAUGACGUCUGCUAAGCAAUAGAGCGCGCCGAUACUAAAAAUAAACGCACAAGGCAAAGCAUUGCGCGCGAUAAAUACUCACCACCACCCAGCAAUUCGACAAAAGCCACUACAAACAAACACACCAUGCCUACUUACAUUGAUGGCCAGAGCAACAACAACAGCAACCAGGUUGAGAGAGCGUAGUGCUGCUGUUUCUUCGUUGUGCAACGGUAAUAUCUAUAUGCUCUGUAGCAGCUCCGCACCAUACAGGUUCUAUGGUGUAAUGGUUAGCACUCUGGACUUUGAAUCCAGCGAUCCGAGUUCAAAUCUCGGUAGAACCUUCAAAAACAAAUUUUUUAUAAAUAAAAAUAUUAUUCGCGGAGAUUCUAAAAAGUCAUGUGUAUGUGUUAUGUUUAGAUUUUAAAAUAUUUCAAAAAUGUAUGUUGUACCCAC